UACGUAGGGGGCAAGCGUUGUCCGGAUUUAUUGGGCGUAAAGAGCGUGUAGGCGGUUUGGUAGGUCCGCUGUGAAAACUCGAGGCUCAACCCCGAGACGCCGGUGGAAACCGUCAGGCUAGAGUCCGGAAGAGGAGAGUGGAAUUCCUGGUGUAGCGGUGAAAUGCGCAGAUAUCAGGAAGAACACCGGUGGCUAAGGCGGCUCUCUGGGCCGAUACUGACGCUGAGGAGCGAAAGCGUGGGGAGCAAACAGG
rnacentral:rRNA from 1 species